AACGCACAUUGCGCCCCUUGGUAUUCCGGGGGGCAUGCCUCUUCCAGCGUCAUUUCACCCCUCAAGCUUUGCUUGGUCUUGAGCCGCGCCGGCAACGGCAGGCUUUAAAAAUAGUGGCGGCGCCAUCGUGCUCUCAGCGUAGUAAUUCUUCUCGCUGUUGGGUCCCGGUGGACGUGCGCCAGCAACCCCCAAUAUUUUUACGUUUGACCUGGGAUGAGGUAGGGAUACCCGCUGAACUUAA
rnacentral:misc_RNA from 1 species